AAUUCUUGAACCCUAAACCUUUAUUCUGUCUUUCUGCUCCAAAGAAGAAGAAAAAAGGCCUCUCACACAAUAAGGACCUUCAAGAAGCAAAUUUUGCCAUGAAGUCAAUGCAAUUGGAGCACAUAAUCUGCAAUUGGUUAUUUCCUGUGGAAGUUGUGGUUCUUUCUUUUGGUUUGAGAGCAAGUUCAUCCAUGGAGGGAGUCUUAGAGGAGUACAGGCUAAGAAACAGAAAAGCAGAAAGCCCGAAAUCAUGGCAGGAGAUCAACUGAAUUUCUCAAGGGUUUUAAUUACCUCUCGUCCAGGGUUAAACUAUUGGGAAGAGACUGCAUCAAUUUGGUUAUAACUCCUACACAUUCAUUCGAGCCAUUUCCAUUCUGUUGGUUUCAGAACAAGUCAUGAAUAGAGGUAACAUUUCCAAACUUGUAGAUAUGGCGUGUGUUAUAUGUUUCUGAUUCUGGCAGGAUAGAAAUCUGCUAUUAGUUUUCUAUGGUCAUCCUAAAAUAAUUUUCACACAAUUUGACUCCUACUAAAGAGCCUACCUACAUUGAUUCAAUUCUAUUAUGGAACCAGAUUUUAAUGCAGCACCAGUAACUUAAGAACUUAAAUACUCGGGUUUAUUGGAUAUCUUCAACACAAGAGGAAUUAGGUUACAGAAAUAUGAAAGAUAGAAUGAAAACUACUGAUAUCACACCAGUAGAACCUCAGGCAUCACACCAGAGGGUAGGCUGCAUCACACAAACCCAAAUAGAAAGCAAAGCUCUCAAACUUUUAUUAAUCCCACUCCGAGAACAAAAGACUACAAAAGACCUCUAUAUAUAGAGAGGUAAAGAAAACCUAAAACAAUUAGGAUCAAGUAAACCUAAUAACCUAGAACUUAAAAGAUUCUCAAUAACAAAACAAAUCCCAAAUAAGAAAGAAAUCAUAAUAACCUAAAACAAUUAGGAUCAAGUAAACCUAAUAACCUAGAA